rnacentral:rRNA from 1 species
AGCGAACGCUGGCGGCGUGCCUAACACAUGCAAGUCGAGCGAGAAAGGGGUGGCAACACCCUGAGUAAAGCGGCGAACGGGUGAGUAACGCGUGGGCAAUCUACCUUCCAGUCUGGGAUAACCUUCCGAAAGGAGGGCUAAUACCGGAUGAUGUCCUGUUGGGGCAUCCUGAGGGGAGCAAAGGGGGCGACCCGCAAGGGGCUCUCGCUGGAGGAGGAGCCUGCGUCCGAUUAGCAGUUGGUGGGGUAACGGCUCACCAAGGCGACGAUCGGUAGCCGGCCUGAGAGGGUGACCGGCCACACUGGGACUGAGACACGGCCCAGACUCCUAUGGGAGGCAGCAGGUGGGGAAUCUUGCGCAAUGGGCGAAAGCCUGACGCAGCGACGCCGCGUGGGGGAC